rnacentral:lncRNA from 1 species
AUGAGAUGCAGAGGGGACAGUCAGCACGGGAAGAGUCCAGGAGGCCCCCGGCCAGCAGACACGGGAGUGUUCCUGUCGCAGAUUGCUGCAUCUGGGGACCUGAACAACGCAGCAGUAGCCGUUCACCUUGCCACUGGGAGAGACGCUGCCCCACUGCCUAAGGGCUCCAGCUCGUACCCAACCGAAGCAGAGGGGCCCUCUGGAGCAACGCCACCUGCUGGUCAGAGGGCAAGCUCUGCAGCCACAGCGAGUCUCUUCCGCCCCCACCUACCAGCCGUGGGAAGUUGGACACAUUACCUCACCUCUCCAAGCCUCCGUUUUUUUCAUGUGCAAAUAAAGAUAAUUAUUAUUCUCACCUCAUAGAGGUGUUCUGAGAAUUAACUCUAGUAAUCCAUGAGCACAGUGCCUGGCUCAUGGUAAACAAUAAACGUCAGCUACCACCACCACCAUUACAACUGAGCAUUCCCAUGGGAUUGUGAUGGGCUAGGAUGACUGCGGGAAAUUCCCAUCCGCAUCUGGAGAGCGAGGAAAGGUGCCCAGCACCCCCAGACUGCAGGCAGAUGCCGAGGCAGGCCAAGCAUCCUGGGGCGGGAGUCAAGAGGGUUCUGUGCUUCCCCAAGAGCCUUCCACUGCGCAGUUGUGGGUCUGUCCCAGAAAUGACC